CGGAUCUCUUGGCUCUCGCAUCGAUGAAGAACGCAGCGAAAUGCGAUAAGUAAUGUGAAUUGCAGAAUUCAGUGAAUCAUCGAAUCUUUGAACGCACCUUGCGCUCCUUGGUAUUCCGAGGAGCAUGCCUGUUUGAGUGU
rnacentral:rRNA from 2 species